UGCAUUUAAUUCAAGUUUUAGUUGUUGAAGUCGUUUCUGAAAGUAUUUUUAAAUUUUAAACUGUGGCUGCCUCCUUAAAUCACUUGCCCCCUUUGGCGCAGACAUUCUACGUCAUACUGACAUGUCGAGCCCCAGCUCCAUCCAGACAUCAGAACAACUUAUUUUGGUUUCAAUCGAUCGCUGUUGGAUAACUUGUAUUAAACCAAAAAAGAUGGCCUCAAGUUGUCGAAAACCAGAGCAUAUUGCCCCGCUUAAAAAUGUUCUCGGGUGAUUGCGAUCCAGGGCCAGAUGUUCUAGAGGGCUGUGGAGCUGCUGAACCUGCCUGAGGACCAGCCCUGUAUCCUGCUAGAUGUGGGGGGUUGGGGUCAGAGACGGUGGACAGGAGUGUCCCAAAUCAAGUCCAAUUCACAGGACGGAGGUAAAGUGAUUCAUAAGAUUGUCAACUUUAGACAUGUUGUAAAGCUUAAUUACCAUCAUUAUGUUAAAGAAAAUACCUAUUAAUAAAAGUACUAGCAUAGUUGGGUAGAUGUCAUUGGGCAGGUCUUUUCCUCAGGUCAGGCCAGGCACAUUUCCCUGCCCUGAUGAGGUUGAAGGACCCAGAUGGACAUAGAGGGCUGUCGUCCUGCCUGACUACAGUUACUGUCCGGCAGCUUUUCCUCCCUCUGACAUCACAUGAUCAAGCAGAUGGGGAUUUGGGAAACUCACUGCUCAGCCUGUAGGGUCUCCACUUGCGCCUGCUGAAUAGCUAGCUUUAUGGGUCAGCCGCUUCAGGUGGGUGGUCACGGGUGUUUGCAGUGUUUGCUGGGUUCCAGCCUUAGUAUGAGCCGAAUCAGGAGGAAGUGGUACUCGUUUAGCAAGCAGCGUGACGUCCUUUACAAUCUGUCACGAGACAUAGAGCAGAUUGAAGUUAAAGUUGAGUAAAAACAACUACAGGAUUAAAGAUUAGAGCUGCGGUGUCUCGAUCCCUUCCUGUGUCUGCUGUUGGUCAUUUCCUGUUUGUCUUCGUGAAGAUCUCGCUUUAAGAACAUGAAGGGCAAGUCUGCAAAGAAGGGAGAAGACUGGAUCCUGGAGGGGAGGAGAAGACAGGGCGGGUAUGUACCCCUCUGUCUACACUGUCUCAUUGAGAAGACAGGACAGGUUUGUACCCCUCUGUCUACACUGUCUCAUUGAGAAGACAGGGCAGGUUUGUACCCCUCUGUCUACACUGUCUCACAGGUUAACAUUAGUACCAUCAACUUAUUACAUUCAUAUAGCUUACAACCCCAUUUGGAUGAAGCCAGUAGGCUCUGUAACAGAAAGGCUGGUCUCUUACUGUCUGUGGUGUGUUCUGUCUCUCAGGGAGGUCCGAGCUGACACAACGUACACUGCCCUGCAGAGAAGGACUCACUUCUGAACCCCAGUCAGUCCUGUGUGUUCCGGGCCUGGAGAUUCACCCUUAUGGAAUACUACUGUCCUGUGGACAGAAUCUGGACAGAAACUGGCCCCUCUCGAGGACAUGGUCCCAAUCCUCUGGACAGAAACUGGCCCCUCUCUAGGACAUGGUCCCAAUCCGCUGGACAGAAACUGGCCCCUCUCUAGGACAUGGUCCCAAUCCUCUGGACAGAAACUGGCCCCUCUCUAGGACAUGGUCCCAAUCUUCUGGACAGAAACUGGCCCCUCUCUAGGACAUGGUCCCAAUCCUCUGGACAGAAACUGGCCCCUCUCUAGGACAUGGUCCCUAUCCUCUGGACAGAAACUGGCCCCUCUCUAGGACAUGGUCCCAAUCCUCUGGACAGAAACUGGCCCCUCUCUAGGACAUGGUCCCAAUCCUCUGGACAGAAACUGGCCCCUCUCUAGGACAUGGUCCCAAUCCUCUGGACAGAAACUGGCCCCUCUCUAGGACAUGGUCCCAAUCCUCUGGACAGAAACUGGCCCCUCUCUAGGACAUGGUCCCAAUCCUCUGGACAGAAACUGGCCCCUCUCUAGGACAUGAUAGACAUCAACAACAAAUGGACAGCAAAGAAAAUAAAUGCCCCUCUCUGAUCUUUGACCCAUUCUUCUGGACUAGAUCAUUUCCCCUCGAGCUGCAUAUUCUAUUUUAAAUGUUUGAUGUGGACCUUUUGUUUGAAAGCUUGAAUUAAACAUGUUCUCUAACAUGUCUUUAACUGCACUGUUGGUAAAGGCCUUGAGAGGAAGCCAUUUCACGGCAUGUGACAAAUAAAACUUGAUUUGAUAGAUUUGUUUCAUCGGCCCAUAUCAAUCCCAGUGAAUAUUCAUGUCAUUUGGAGGCCAAUUGUCAACCCAGUGAAUAGUCAUGUAAUUUAGAGGCAAAUAGUCAUGUAAUUUAGAGGCCACUAGUCAUCCCAGUGAAUAUUCAUGUCAUUUAGAGGCCACUAGUCAUCCCAGUGGUUAGGUAUAUCAUUUAGAGGCCACUAGUCAUCCCAGUGGUUAGUUAGAUCAUUUAGAGGGCACUAGUCAUCCCAGUGGUUAGUUAUAUCAUUUAGAGGGCACUAGUCAUCCCAGUGGUUAGUUAUAUCAUUUAGAGGGCACUAGUCAUCCCAGUGGUUAGUUAUAUCAUUUAGAGGGCACUAGUCAUCCCAGUGGUUAGUUAUAUCAUUUAGAGGGCACUAGUCAUCCCAGUGGUUAGUUAUAUCAUUUAGAGGCCACUAGUCAUCCCAGUGGUUAGUUAUAUCAUUUAGAGGGCACUAGUCAUCCCAGUGGUUAGUUAUAUCAUUUAGAGGGCACUAGUCAUCCCAGUGGUUAGUUAUAUCAUUUAGAGGCCACUAGUCAUCCCAGGCCUGUGGGCUACAUGUAAUUAUUUUGAGAUCUGUCGUAUUAUAUUGUCGAUAGUUUCGUUCAUCUGAAUGCAGUUAUUAACUGAACAACGUGUCUUAUCUCUGUAAU
ensembl:lncRNA